UUCCAUAGCCGGAUCGUCGCCACAAGCACCGUCCAUGCAAGCGAGCUUGCCUGGGCAGUCGUCGUGAACCUUGCAAGGCUUGGAGCAGCCUUUCGGAAACUGGCUAGGCCCGCAGAUUUGCGUUUCCAUGUCGGGGUCAUCUCCACACGUUUGCCCAACGCAGGCUAACUUUCCCUUGCAUUCUUCGUCCUUUGUGCAGGAUUGUCCACAGCCUUUCAUCGCCGCCAAAGUCAUCUCUGUGAAAAUCACAAAAGCAAAGAGGAUGAUCAAGUGCUUAGCUCUAUGGCUUGCUACUUGCUUGGCUAUGGAAAUGGAUGAUGAUAUUUAUAUGAAGUAAAAGGACAAGGCAACGUUGUUCAA